rnacentral:rRNA from 1 species
GAUGAACGCUGGCGGCGUGCCUAAUACAUGCGAGUCGAGCGAACAGACGAGGAGCUUGUUCCUCUGACGUUAGCGGCGGACGGGUGAGUAACGCGUGGAUAACCUACCUAUAAGACUGGGAUAACUUCGGGAAACCGGAUCUAAUACCGGAGAAUAUAUUGAACCGCAGGGUUCAAUAGUGAAAGACGGCUUUUCUGUCACUUAUAGCUGGAUCCGCGCUGCAUUGGCUAGUUGGUAAGGUAACGGCUUACCAAGGCAACGAUGCCUAGCCGACCUGAGAGGGUGAUCGCCCCCUCUGGAACUGAGCAGCGGUCCAGCCUCCUACGUGAGGCAGCAGUAGGGAAUCUUCCGAAAUGGGCGAAAGCUUGCCCAAGCAACGCCACGUGGGUGAUGAAGGUCUUCGGUUCGUAAAACUCUGUUAUGGGUGAAGAACAAAUGUGUAUGUGACUAUGCGCGUCUUGCCGUUACCUAAACAGAAGGACCCGCCUACCUCCGG